AAACGGCUUCAAACACACGGCAGUGAACAAGAAGACGACCUGGUUUCCAUAAGAACAGGCUGAAACAAUGGAACUUGAUAAAAUUGUGGGAAAGGAAUCAGAAGAACCAAAGAUGACAGGUUGUACUGAGCCCAUACUCCAGGAUGAUGUUUCCGCCUCUGUUUUAUGGCCUUCCACAAUCCCCUUACCUUCUCAACUCGCCAAUAAGCUUUCCUUGCUGGCCUCCAGCCUUGGAUCAAUCAGCAACUUGCUUGCUCAGCCCCUACAAAUGAGCUAUUGAGUAGCUUGGAGAGGUUUCCGACUGGGCCAUCCUGAAGCUAUAGUCACCAGAGGGAGCUGGUUGUUAAAUAUUUACCAGGAUACCAUUGCUGGGACCUAUGGAGCUACUCUUCUGCUAUCAGA